GGCACGGUGGCUUAGUGGUUAGUACGUUUGCCUCACACGUCCAGGGUUGCGGGUUUGAACCCUGCCUCCGCCC